rnacentral:rRNA from 1 species
UACGAAGGGUGCAAGCGUUACUCGGAAUUACUGGGCGUAAAGCGUGCGUAGGUGGUUUGUUAAGUCUGCUGUGAAAGCCCCGGGCUCAACCUGGGAAUGGCAGUGGAUACUGGCAAGCUGGAGUGCGGUAGAGGGUAGUGGAAUUCCCGGUGUAGCGGUGAAAUGCGUAGAGAUCGGGAGGAACACCAGUGGCGAAGGCGGCUCCCUGGGCCAGCACUGACGCUGAGGCACGAAAGCGUGGGGAGCAAACAGG